rnacentral:rRNA from 1 species
GACAGAGGGUGCAAACGUUGUUCGGAAUUACUGGGCGUAAAGCGCGCGUAGGCGGCUUUGCAAGUCGGGUGUGAAAUCCCCAGGCUUAACCUGGGAACUGCAUUCGAGACUGCAUUGCUAGAGUAUGGGAGAGGGAAGUGGAAUUUCCGGUGUAGCGGUGAAAUGACGUAGAGUAUCGGAAGGAACAUCAGUGGCGAAAGCGACUUCCUGGACCAAUACUGACGCUC